CACGACUUUGGAUACGUGCCUCCAGGCCUCUAAAUUCGUGCACAUUAUCCCCCAGUGGAUAAGCAAAUAGACGAUGGAUGCCAGGACGAGAAAUGCUGCUACAGAAACGAGUUUGUAGUGGAUUAUGAAGCCAGCUGCCGCACUUGCUGCGAGCGCCUCUCAUGGAUUAAUCACAGUACGUAACAAGCCAUCUAAAAUAUUGGACAACGCGGCAGAUGGAGCCGCCAGUGUUCGUAUUGAACGUCUGUAUCCGCCUAUGGCUGCAGCCGAAAGCACUUUCAGGGUAUAUAGCUCGAUCCUAGAUGCUGGACGACGAGUAUAAAGAUUUAUCAUCACUUAUUCUUACGAUGGCAUCAAAAAUCUACGUCGCAGUGGAAAGACCGACGAUAAAUCACGAUGAGUUACAAAGAUCCCUGAGUCGAUAGUUAGAAAAUUUAUACGUACACACGCGUAAAGGUGAUUUUCAUGGCUUAAAUUUUCGGUUAUUAACAGUUGGUUAAAUGUGAAAUUAUACGUCAGUGGCUCUAUACAUCAUUUUGUUUGACGUUAAACAAUAUUCAAUAUCUGACGAGCUUUGUAAAUCAGUUUAGAGUGUAAAUAAAAUUACAAAAGCAGCCCUUUCUGAU
rnacentral:misc_RNA from 1 species